GUACCCGCGGCAAGACGGAAAGACCCCGUGAACCUUUACUAUAGCUUGACACUGAACAUUGAGCCUUGAUGUGUAGGAUAGGUGGGAGGCUUUGAAGCGUGGACGCCAGUCUGCGUGGAGCCAACCUUGAAAUACCACCCUUUAAUGUUUGAUGUUCUAACGUUGGCCCCUUACCGGGGUUGCGGACAGUGUCUGGUGGGUAGUUUGACUGGGGCGGUCUCCUCCCAAAGCGUAACGGAGGAGCACGAAGGUUAGCUAAUCCUGGUCGGACAUCAGGAGGUUAGUGCAAUGGCAUAAGCUAGCUUGACUGCGAGCGUGACGGCGCGAGCAGGUGCGAAAGCAGGUCAUAGUGAUCCGGUGGUUCUGAAUGGAAGGGCCAUCGCUCAACGGAUAAAAGGUACUCCGGGGAUAACAGGCUGAUACCGCCCAAGAGUUCAUAUCGACGGCGGUGUUUGGCACCUCGAUGUCGGCUCAUCACAUCCUGGGGCUGAAGUAGGUCCCAAGGGUAUGGCUGUUCGCCAUUUAAAGUGGUACGCGAGCUGGGUUUAGAACGUCGUGAGACAGUUCGGUCCCUAUCUGCCGUGGGCGCUGGAGAAUUGAGGGGGGCUGCUCCUAGUACGAGAGGACCGGAGUGGACGCAUCACUGGUGUUCGGGUUGUCAUGCCAAUGGCACUGCCCGGUAGCUAAAUGCGGAAGAGAUAAGUGCUGAAAGCAUCUAAGCACGAAACUUGCCCCGAGAUGAGUUCUCCCUGAGACUUUAAGUCUCCUGAAGGAACGUUGAAGACGACGACGUUGAUAGGCCGGGUGUGUAAGCGCAGCGAUGCGUUGAGCUAACCGGUACUAAUGAACCGUGAGGCUUAACCUUACAACGCCGAAG
rnacentral:rRNA from 1 species